rnacentral:miRNA from 1 species
UGAGUCAGGAGAAUCGCUUGAACCCAGGAGGUGGAAGUUGCAGUGAGCUGAGAUGGCACCAUUGCACUCCAGCCUGGGUGACAGAGCAAGACUCUGUCUCAAAAAAAAAAAAA